rnacentral:lncRNA from 1 species
CACAUACUGUACUUGUGUUUAUUGAUUUAUCUGUGGAUCACAAUGUUUUCCAUGUUAUGGAAUGUGCUGAUAUUCCUUUGCUGUUUGAAAGGUAAUUUUAUACAAUUUCGUACUUUUUUUUAUAAAUAGAGGAAGAUGUGGCGUGAGUGCCAAUGAGACAACUCUCCAUCCAAAUAACAAUUUAUAAAAGUAAACCAUUAUAGGUCAAUGAACGGCCUUCAACACGGAACCUUGACUCACACCGAACAACAAGCUAUGAAAGGCCCCAAAAUUAUUUGUGUAAAACCAUUCAAACGGGAAAACCAUCGGUCUAAUCUAUAUAAAAAACGAGAAACGAGAAACACGUACUAUAAAUUACACAAACAAACGACAACUACUGUACAUCAGAUUCCUGACCUAGGACAGGUUCAAGCAUUUGCAGCGGGAUUAAACGUUUUAAUGGUACCAAACCUUCUCCCUUUUUCCUUUUUUUUUUUUUUUUUGGAUUCGAGCGUCACUGAUGAGUUUUUUUGUAGACGAAAAGCACGUCUGACGUAAAUAAAAAAUUAAAACCUGGCAUCUAUGAUGAUUUUAUUUAUAACUUCAUUUCGUUUUCAAGUUUUAUUUGGGGUGCUAAAUAUUCCAAUAGCAUAAUAUAAAAAUGACAGCUUAUAUUGAGGCAGUGUACUAAAACUAAAGCAUUAAAAUGAAAACAAGAUAGAAAAUGAAUGUUGAAUGAACAAAAAAAAUAAAUGACAUUGUAGUGAAUCUGUUUACUGUACUACGGAAGCCGAUAAGGGCCAUUCAAAAAGAAAAAAAUAUGUCGUUAUAACGACAUCGCUAUGUCGUAAUUUCGACAUAACAUGUCGUUAUAACGACAUCGCUAUGUCGUAAUUUCGACAUAUCAUGUCGUAAUAACGACAACACUAUGUCGUUAAAACGACAUAGCUAUGUCGUUAUAACGACAUCGCUAUAUAUAUAAAAGAAUAUGUAUUAUGAUUGCCAAGAGACUAAAUGACACAGAAAUUAAACAACUUUAUGUCAUCAUAAUGCCCCAAUAAUGAGAAAAGCCCCACAAUAGUCAGCUAUAAAAGAGGGAGGAAAGAUACCAGAGGGAGAGCCCCCGAAAUGCUGUGUGGCAGACAGUGUUAUUAAUUAAUUAUUAGCUCCCUUGGUAAAACUCCACAUUUCAUAUUUAAUGUAUUUCAUUGUUAAAUAAUUUCCAUGAAGCUUAAUAAGUACAUAUUUGUUAAUUGCAUAGACUUUGCUAUUUGAAUUCAUUGGUUAGAGAUAUUAAUUUAUAUUGUAAAGUUUAAUAUUUGCAUCGUAGCAAAAUCUUUGGUUACCUUCUUUGAAUAGAUUCAGUGAGAAACUUAUAUAUUUUAUAGAUCCCAUGUAAUUAUACCGACCCUGUAAGUUAGGUCUAACAUUCAUUCCUACCAAGGCAAGUCAAGCUAUCCAUCUCCCUACAAAUAAGUGCAAACUUGAAGGCUUUUUGUAAUAAGGUUGAAUUGAAGUAUUUCUACUUUCAAACGUUGGGCACGAUGUUCCUACAACGCCUAGGAUUUAAAACAGAAUCUUCGAAAUUUCAUCCGCAAACAAAAUAAAAAUAAAAAUGUUAGAAAACACGAAACAAUAUUGUAACAAAUUCAGUAUAUGUUUUAAAUUAUGUUUUUACAGCUCUUGAUCAUAUACUAAGUAAUAUCUAGUUUAUUUGAGGAUAAAAAUAAGAAGGCUAUGUGAAAAAAACGGAUGUCCAACGUUACAGUUUUAUGAAAAAAACUGUUUUAACUCUUAUGUAUAGUGAUCCUAUUUCUUAUUCUCCGAUCUUCUUGAUUCUUGCAGGAACAACGACAUGUGUUGAUUCUCUGUGCCGUUAAAGCCGUUUUUUGCCAAAUUUCAUUUGACUCGAUGACUGCAUAUUAAGCUGGAAUAAGAAAAAUGUCCAACGACGUUCUUCAUUAACUCAACGACUGAAAGUGAAUUUUAUAAGUAGAUAAAGCAGAAAAUGAAUAAAAAGAGUAAGACAAUAAUGAUAUCUAACAAAAGUACAAAUAUUUGCCUCAUGUGAGUUCAAAUAUUGCUGAUUCAAUAAAAAUCUUCUCUACACAGUCGUUUUUCAAACGGUAACCAUUUUGUCCAAGUUGAUAUUUCAUUUUUCAAAGCAGUUAGAAUAGUAAGAUACACGAACAGUAAAAAAUGACAAGAUUCUUUUCUUAUUACCUACAUAUUUGGGUCUUAAAGGAAUAAAAGCUUCCACACAUUACAAAACGGUAGCCAAUUUGUCCAACGUCUGAAAACGUCUAAAAUCCUAAAGACGCUAAUUUCGACGUUACAUGUGCUAAAGUUUCAAUUAAAUGUUCAUGAUACUUAAAACAAAUCGUGUUAUAAAAUUUGGAAAAAGAGGUUGAUGAUUGCUGCCGAAAAAAAAAGAAUAGUGCAUGUUGCUAUAGACUCGCCCGGGGACAUAGGUUCGACACAGGUUAAAUUUGCAAUUUUUAUUAAUCGUUUAUAGCUUUUAACGAUUUAUUUAAAAGAAUUGGGAAAUGGGAAAACAUCCCAUUACAUGAACUUCGUCCAACUUUUGCAAAGACAAAUUGGAGACACCAAGACAGUCCUCUAAAUGUAAAAUGCGAAUUGAAAUUUAUGUUACGGAAGUACUCCGAAAUAGAUCAUUUAAAGUCGUCACUUCAGUAAGGUGCAACCACCAAUAUUUAAAGACUUAAUACCAGUUCACGGAAUAUGUUUUACUUCGUGAUUUGUCCUGCUAUUCAUGUUAACUUAUAACGGUCGUGAUGAAAAUAAUUCCUGUACUAGCGAAGCCGGAACUUUUCGUCAAUAUAAACUUGUGCAUGAAACGGAGGUAAUUGAAAGACGAAUCCCAAACAGCAACGAAAACCGUUUCAUCGAAUUAAUAAAAAACCCGGAUUAUAUUUGCCGUUUUCGCGGACGAUCCAGGAGUAGAUUACUAUACUUUAGAAUGUAUAUCAGAAGUUUUAAACGCUAUAGAUGACUUGGGAAUAAUUCUCAAGCCAAGGUUCAAGUAAUUGAAGGGGUGUAUUUCGACAACUUAUGUGCCAGGGAAAAUACAAUUCUAUUCAAAUUUAACCAAGGGUAAAAAUGUUCGAUUUACUUGCAGAGUGUCAGAUAUUUUGUAUUGGUUGAAUUAAGAUAUAGAAAUUUUACAAUGACAGAUGAUAUGCACCUUGAAAGUUAAACAUCCUAUGAUAAACAAAAAUAUGGAAAACGUAUACAACUUCCGUCCCAUCUUUCCUUCCUACUUUACUUGCGACAGUACUGCUUUUUAGUUGAAAUAACUUAAAGAGUAAACAUUAUUAAAUCGAUUUCCACAACUCGAGGUAAUUUUUGACAUCACAAAACGAACAGAACCAGAAUCAACCAACAAAUUAUGAAAAACCGAAUAAAACUUGCAAAAAUUAAACGAAGUCAAAAACCCUCUUCGACCCGCAUGUUAAAGUGUAACGUCGUGUUGUUGGAAUUUGUGCCCAACGUUUGAAAGUAGAAAUAGAGCUAUCAAUACUUCAAUUCACCCUUAUACAAAAGCCAUGUAGUUUGCGCUUAUAUAAAGGGAGAUGAAUGCUUGCCAUACAAUGUCAGUCUCAUAUAUUUCCACGUCUUAUUUGUUUAUUUCAAACUUGUCGGCUGUACAGCCCUUCCAUGGCAGGAACUUAUAAAACUAGACGCUUUUAAAAUAUACAAGUUUCUCACUGAAGGUACCAAAGAAGGUAACCAAAGAUUUUGCGACGAUGCAAAUAUUAAACUUUACAAUAUAAAUAAAAAAUCCUUAACCAAUGAUUCAAAUAGCAAAAGCUAUGCAAUUAACAAAUAUAUACUUAUUAAGCUUCAUGUAAAUUAUUUAACAAUGAAAUACAUUAAAUUGAAAUUUGGAGUUUUUACCAAGGGAGCUAAUAAUUAAUUAAUAACACUGUCUGCCACACAGCAUUUCGGGACUCUCCCUUUGGUAUUUUCCUCCCUCUUUAUAGCUGACUAAUCGGGGCUUUUAUAAUUAUUGGGGCAUUAUGAUGACCCAUAGUUGUUAAUUUCUGUGUCAUUUAGUCUCUUGGCAAUCAUAAUACAUAUUCUUUUAUAUAUAGCGAUGUCGUUAUUACGACAUAGCUAUGUCGUUAAACGACAUAGAGAUGUCGUUAAUACGACAUUAUGUCGAAAUUACGACAUAGCAAUGUCGUUAUAACGACAUGUUAUGUCGAAAUUACGACAUAGCGAUGUCGUAAUAACGACAUGUUAUGUCAAAUUACGACAUGCUAUGUCGUAAUUACGACAUAAAAUAUUUUUUUUGAAUGCCCUUAUGGCUUCCGUUUUACUGUUAUUAUGAGAGAAAAAAUAACCCUUUUUUUUUAAAUUAACUGUAGUGACUGUCUUAUUUAUUGACCUGUUAAUGGAACCCUUCUUGUCCCCUUUUAAGAUAAGAAAAUAUGUUUACGAUUUUCGGGAUACGAUCAUUUUGCAAGAUCCAAAAUACGUUGUAAUUUAUACAAUACUUAUAUAAAGUAGAUUGAUGUGGUAUGUUGUUAUCAUGGACAAAUUUCCAUAAGAACCAAAGGAAGUAUGGUUAACAACCAUCCGUCAUCUAGACCUUCAAAUAACCCAUAAAAUAAAAAUGUAAAAGGUUUUGCAUAAUAAUGGAGAGCAAAAAUAUAGAACAAAGGACUUUCUGAGCGUCAAGAAUCACUUGCUGUAUCUGUAAGAUUUUUUCAACAUAAUUUUUUUGUCUGAACGGUUAUCAGNUGGACGAAAGAUGUUGCCCUUUUAUGUAAUUAUGUAAUACAAGUUACGAUCAUUUGAAAACACAGUCAUAUUAAACAGCCAAAUGGAUGCACAAGAGCUAAAAUAGGAGUCAUAGAUCCUAUUGACAACAAUUAUCUGCCCAAUUUUAUUGAUUUUGUAACAUUUGUUUCAAAUAUGACCAACUUAUUAUCCAAAAUCAUCAGCACCGUAUCAGGGCCCACCAGCACAGUAUCAGGACAUGAAUAAAUUGAGAAAAUGCUAAAUUUUAAUAAAUUGCAAUGUUUUUUCACAAAAUAGUUUUGUCGUGUGGAUUGUGGUAUAGAAAGCGGACUCUAUGAGCAUUUUUGUUUUAUUUUUUCAGUUCUAGAUUUUCUGAAAAUGAGCAUUUUUGUGUUACGCUUACUGAAACAGUUUAGAGGGUCAACUUUUUAAUGGUUUACAUAUGAACCCAUCAGAAACAAAAUUGAAAAAUCUCAACUGUUUUCUUCCAUUUUUUAUGAGUGAAAACGUCAAAAAUCAUCAUUUUCGUCUUUGUUUACAUUUUUUCAUUGAUCACCAGCACCCGUCAGGACCGAAUCACCAGCACAGAACGUUCUCUCGCAGGACAACCAUACCCACCGUGGUAAUUGAAGUCACAAUUGAAAUUGCAACGCCAAAUGAAUUUGUAACAACACCU